UACGGGGGGAGCAAGCGUUGUUCGGAUUUACUGGGCGUAAAGGGCGCGUAGGCGGCGCAACAAGUCACUUGUGAAAUCUCCGGGCUUAACCCGGAGCGGUCAAGUGAUACUGUCGUGCUAGAGUGCGGAAGGGGCUACUGGAAUUCUCGGUGUAGCGGUGAAAUGCGUAGAUAUCGAGAGGAACACCUGCGGCGAAGGCGGCGCUCUGGGCCGGUACUGACACUGAGGAGCGAAAGCGUGGGGAUCAAACAGG
rnacentral:rRNA from 1 species